CUACGGGAGGCAGCAGUGGGGAAUAUUGGACAAUGGGCGCAAGCCUGAUCCAGCCAUGCCGCGUGUGUGAAGAAGGUCUUCGGAUUGUAAAGCACUUUAAGUUGGGAGGAAGGGCAGUAAAUUAAUACUUUGCUGUUUUGACGUUACCGACAGAAUAAGCACCGGCUAACUCUGUGCCAGCAGCCGCGGUAAUACAGAGGGUGCAAGCGUUAAUCGGAAUUACUGGGCGUAAAGCGCGCGUAGGUGGUUAUGUAAGUUGAAUGUGAAAUCCCCGGGCUCAACCUGGGAACUGCAUCCAAAACUGCAUAGCUAGAGUAUGGUAGAGGGUGGUGGAAUUUCCUGUGUAGCGGUGAAAUGCGUAGAUAUAGGAAGGAACAUCAGUGGCGAAGGCGACCACCUGGACUAAUACUGACACUGAGGUGCGAAAGCGUGGGGAGCAAACAGGAUUAGAAACCCCUGUAGUCC
rnacentral:rRNA from 1 species